GGUCAGUUGGGCAAGUACAUGUUGGAAUGCCCUGUGUAGCUCCUUUGGGGGGCCCAGUAGUGACAGAGGGUAUUUUUGGGGUCAUGUCUACCUUAGUGGAGAUUGGACCAAGGCGACUUCAAUAGCCCGUCGAGGGAGUUUUGGGGUCAUGUCUAAUCCAAGAUAUAUUGAGAUGUUUGUUUGGUGAUGCAUUUUCAUAUAUAGUGUG
rnacentral:lncRNA from 1 species